UACGGAAGGGGCAAGCGUUGUUCGGAAUCAUUGGGCGUAAAGGGCGCGUAGGUGGUUCUGUAUGUCUACCGUGAAAGCAUACAGCUCAACUGUAUUUUGUCGGUAGAAACUGCAGGACUUGGGGCUGGGAGGGGCUGGUGGAAUUCCCUGUGUAGCGGUGAAAUGCGUAGAGAUGGGGGAGAACACUCGUGGCGAAGGCGGCCAGCUAGACCAGUUCUGACACUGAGGCGCGACAGCGUGGGGAGCAAACAGG
rnacentral:rRNA from 1 species